AAUUGUUGGUCAAAUUACUUUUUUGAUCACAGAUGUCUGGGUACCUCAGUUUGAUAUGGUAGCACUUAAUGAUUAACACAAAGAACAAAUAACUUUCCGCAAUUCAUCCAAUCUGCUUGGAUUUCUAAACUUCUGUGGAAAUGACCACACACACACAUGGGCUCCUAUAACAGCAAGCUUUGAGGUUUAUUAAAAAACCAGAAUUCACCAGGCCUGUGCCAAACCUUCGGGAUUGCAGAGAUUGGAUGUCCUGUGAUAUCACAACAGAGGAUUUGCAAUGUCAGGCUUUUGGAAACUAAAUUAUGCGAUCAUUCAAGGAAAGAAUAACUUAUAUUGGAAAGACCUUUAAGAUCAU